rnacentral:rRNA from 1 species
UGAGGAACGAAAGCAUGGGUAGCGAAGAGGAUUAGAUACCCUCGUAGUCCAUGCCGUAAACGAUGUGUGUUAGACGUUGGAAAUUUAUUUUCAGUGUCGCAGCGAAAGCAUUAAACACACCGCCUGGGGAGUACGACCGCAAGGUUAAAACUCAAAUGAAUUGACGGGGACCCGCACAAGUAGUGGAGCAUGUGGUUUAAUUCGAAGAUACGCGCAGAACCUUACCAACACUUGACAUGUUCGUCGCGACUCUAAGAGAUUAGAGUUUUCGGUUCGGCCGGACGAAACACAGGUGCUGCAUGGCUGUCGUCAGCUCGUGUCGUGAGAUGUUGGGUUAAGUCCCGCAACGAGCGCAACCCUUACUUUUAGUUGCCAUCAUUUAGUUGGGCACUCUGAAAGAACUGCCAGUGAUAAGCUGGAGGAAGGUGGGGAUGACGUCAAGUCCUCAUGGCCCUUACGUGUUGGGCUACACACGUGCUACAAUGGCAUUUACAAUAGGAAGCAAGACGGCGACGUCAAGCAAAUCCUAAAAAGAUGCCUCAGUUCGGAUUGUACUCUGCAACUCGAGUACAUGAAGCUGGAAUUACUAGUAAUCGCGGAUCAGCGCGCCGCGGUGAAUACGUUCCCGGGUCUUGUACACACCGCCCGUCACACCAUGGAAGUUGGUUCUACCUUAAGGCAAGGCUUAAAACCCU